rnacentral:rRNA from 1 species
CAUUAUUGAUUGUAGCUGUUGCCUUCUGUGCUGGCUGGCUCUUGCAUCAAGUGCACGUCGGUGACUUUCAUUCCAAUACCCUUGUGAACCCUUGGCCUCUUGCUAGCUUCACGGCUGGCAUAGGAUUUUCUACAUACACACUCGAAUGUAAUGAAACUCUUGUUGUGCACAAACACUACUAAUACAACUUUCAACAACGGAUCUCUUGGCUCUCGCAUCGAUGAAGAACGCAGCGAAAUGCGAUAAGUAAUGUGAAUUGCAGAAUUCAGUGAAUCAUCGAAUCUUUGAACGCACCUUGGACCCUUUGGAAUUCUGAAGGGUAUGCUCGUUUGAGUGUCAUUGUACUCUCACACUUCCGAUCUUUGUAUUGGGAGAGGUGGACUUGGGUUUGCUGCUUCACCGCGGCUUACCUCAAAUACGGUAGUGCAACUCUUGGUUGGACAUAUUACUGCGUGAUAAGUGGUUCUUCGCCGGUGCCUCGCAAAGAGGGUGGCCGAUCUGGAGGUUGUGCUCCAAACCGUCUUCGGACAAUCUCUGACAACUUGACCUCAAAUCGAGUAGGA